CCUACGGGAGGCAGCAGUGGGGAAUCUUGCGCAAUGGGGGCAACCCUGACGCAGCCAUGCCGCGUGAAUGAUGAAGGCCUUGGGGUUGUAAAGUUCUUUUGCCCGUGACGAUGAUGACGGUAACGGGAGAAUAAGCUCCGGCUAACUUCGUGCCAGCAGCCGCGGUAAUACGAAGGGGGCUAGCGUUGUUCGGAAUUACUGGGCGUAAAGCGCGCGCAGGCGGUUCGAUAAGUUAGGGGUGAAAUCCCUGGGCUCAACCCAGGAAUGGCCUUUAAGACUGUCGAGCUAGAGGACGAGAGAGGUGAGUGGAAUUCCCAGUGUAGAGGUGAAAUUCGUAGAUAUUGGGAAGAACACCGGUGGCGAAGGCGGCUCACUGGCUCGUUUCUGACGCUGAGGCGCGAAAGCGUGGGGAGCAAACAGGAUUAGAUACCCUGGUAGUCCACGCCCUAAACGAUGAGUGCCAGGUGUCGGGAAGCUUAGCUUCUCGGCGCCGCAGCUAACGCCUUAAGCACUCCGCCUGGGGAGUACGGCCGCAAGGUUAAAACUUAAAAGGAAAUUAGACGG
rnacentral:rRNA from 1 species